rnacentral:rRNA from 1 species
AUGCAGUCGACGAGAGCGACCGGUGCUUGCACUGGUCAAUCUAGUGGCGAACGGGUGAGUAACACGUGGGUAACCUGCCCAUCAGAGGGGGAUAACAUUCGGAAACGGAUGCUAAAACCGCAUAGGUCUUCGAACCGCAUGGUUUGAAGAGGAAAAGAGGCGCAAGCUUCUGCUGAUGGAUGGACCCGCGGUGCAUUAGCUAGUUGGUGAGGUAACGGCUCACCAAGGCCGUGAUGCAUAGCCGACCUGAGAGGGUGAUCGGCCACAUUGGGACUGAGACACGGCCCAAACUCCUACGGGAGGCAGCAGUAGGGAAUCUUCCGCAAUGGACGCAAGUCUGACGGAGCAACGCCGCGUGAGUGAAGAAGGUUUUCGGAUCGUAAAACUCUGUUGUUAGAGAAGAACAAGUGCUAGAGUAACUGUUAGCACCUUACGGUAUCUAACCAGAAAGCCACGGCUAACUACGUGCCAGCAGCCGCGGUAAUACGUAGGUGGCAAGCGUUGUCCGGAUUUAUUGGGCGUAAAGCGAGCGCAGGCGGUUCCUUAAGUCUGAUGUGAAAGCCCCCGGCUCAACCGGGGAGGGUCAUUGGAAACUGGGGAACUUGAGUGCAGAAGAGGAGAGUGGAAUUCCAUGUGUAGCGGUGAAAUGCGUAGAUAUAUGGAGGAACACCAGUGGCGAAGGCGACUCUCUGGUCUGUAACUGACGCUGAGGCUCGAAAGCGUGGGUAGCAAACAGGAUUAGAUACCCUGGUAGUCCACGCCGUAAACGAUGAGUGCUAAGUGUUGGAGGGUUUCCGCCCUUCAGUGCUGCAGUUAACGCAUUAAGCACUCCGCCUGGGGAGUACGACCGCAAGGUUGAACUCAAGGAAUUGACGGGGACCCGCACAAGCGGUGGAGCAUGUGGUUUAAUUCGAAGCACGCGAGACCUU